rnacentral:rRNA from 1 species
CGUUAGCGGCGGACGGGUGAGUAACACGUGGGUAACCUACCUAUAANACUGGGAUAACUUCGGGAAACCGGAGCUAAUACCGGAUAAUAUUUCGAACCGCAUGGUUCGAUAGUGAAAGAUGGUUUUGCUAUCACUUAUAGAUGGACCCGCGCCGUACUAGCUAGUUGGUAAGGUAACGGCUUACCAAGGCGACGAUACGUAGCCGACCUGAGAGGGUGAUCGGCCACACUGGAACUGAGACACGGUCCAGACUCCUACGGGAGGCAGCAGCA